ensembl:lncRNA
UUUAGAUAGCAAACUGUCAGUGAGGAUGAACAAUGAUUUAACAAGUACAAAAUGAAAGAAAGACUACCAGUGUCAACUCUUUCCUAUUUCUUGAACACAGUAUAGGACAGCAACAAAUGGUAUGCAAAUUUAGCCCUGACUCAGAGACUGAAGCUGUCUGGUGGAAGGUUCUUUACCAACUGAGCUACCAGGGAAGCCUUCAGUCCUUGUAAGGACAAAUACAAAUUAAAAAGAAAGUACUGCAAGAAACUAGUACCCUUAACUUCAAAUUUCAGUGGGAGAAUAACUGGUUUCCAGAGUAAUGACCAUCUUCUGCUGCUGCUGCUGCUAAGUCGCUUCAGUUGCAUCCGACUCUGUGUGACCUCAGAGACGGCAGCCCACCAGGCUCCCCCAUCCCUGGGAUUCUCCAGGCAAGAACACUGCAGAAAGAGAAUACUCUGGUCUGACUUACUCAACAUAGAUCACCCUAAUUGGUGCCUGGCAUGGAGUAUAAAGGACAGGAGAAACAGAAGAUUAAUGUAGUGACCCAAUAUACAGUGAUGGGGUUCUGAAGAAGGUUUGUAACAGUGAAGAGGACAGAUUUGGGAGAUGAUUUUGAGUUUGAGUCAACAGAAACUGUUGCUGGCUUAAGAGAGUAAAGACAAGGAAAAACUCAAUCAGAUCUUUGGAUUUUGUCUGUAGGUAUUCAUGGACACUGUUGCUAAGAGGGAGUAAGGUAGAGAAGAUUUUUAGAGGGAGAGUUUGUUUUGGACAUGUCAAUUGUGAGGUAUAGAUCAUGUGGACAGUUAUGUGGAGAUGUCAAAUUGGCAGGUAAAUACAUGAACUUAAAGUUGAUACAAACUGGAGAGGAACUAUCAUAUGAAUAGGACUUAAACUUGUGGGAAGAAGUCUUUUAGAAAGAAGGCAUGGUUAACAGAUUGAGCCAGUAUUUGGUGAUUGAGUAGUAGAGAAGUCACUUAAGUCUCCUGGGAAGGAGGAAAACCUGCAAAUGUGAGAAAACAAGACUGGUCGGGGGUUGGCUAACCUUGCUGGAUAUUUUGUGCACUGAGAUAAAGACAGACUAUUCAUCACUAAGUUUGGCCACCUGGAGGUAAGGGGUAAAACUGACAAAAGCAGAGGCUGAAAUGGUAGAGCCAGAAACCCUGUGGUUAGAGAUUCUGACUUGGUGAUAUUACUGCUGCUUCUGCUGCUGCUAAGUCACUUCAGUCAUGUCCGACUCUGUGUGACCCCAUAGACUGCAAACCACCAGGCUC